rnacentral:rRNA from 1 species
UACGUAGGGGGCAAGCGUUGUCCGGAUUCAUUGGGCGUAAAGCGCGUGUAGGCGGCUUGGUAAGUCUGCUCUGAAAGCCCGGGGCUCAACCCCGGGAGGCGGGUGGAUACUGUCAAGCUCGAGUCCGGAAGAGGAGAGCGGAAUUCCCGGUGUAGUGGUGGAAUGCGUAGAGAUCGGGAGGAACACCAGUGGCGAAAGCGGCUCUCUGGUCCAAAACUGACGCUGAGGGGCGAAAGCGUGGGGAGCGAACGGG